GAUGAAGAACGUAGCGAAAUGCGAUAAGUAAUGUGAAUUGCAGAAUUCAGUGAAUCAUCGAAUCUUUGAACGCACAUUGCGCCCCCCGGCAUUCCGGGGAGCAUGCCUGUUCGAGCGUCUCUUAGAAUACCCCUCACGCCGGCGGAGGCGUGGUCAUGGCGGCGGUGGCGUGCCCCGGGAGGGAGGCCACCGCGCUGGAAUCCAUGGGCGGACGCCUGCCGCGUGGCCGAGCGUGAUAAGACGCACUGGCGCUCGCGCGCGGCGAGGCUGCCGGCCCUGGCCCGCUCGUCGGGCGGGGACAGCAACACUUGGGAACUCCUCGAAUCAGGUAGGGAUACCCGCUGAACUUAAGCAUAUCAAUAAGCGGAGGA
rnacentral:misc_RNA from 1 species